GGCGGGUGCCUAUCAUGCUAGUCGAAGUCGAGCGAACUGAUUAGAAGCUUGCUUCUAUGACGUUAGCGGCGGACGGGUGAGUAACACGUGGGCAACCUGCCUGUAAGACUGGGAUAACUUCGGGAAACCGAAGCUAAUACCGGAUAGGAUCUUCUCCUUCAUGGGAGAUGAUUGAAAGAUGGUUUCGGCUAUCACUUACAGAUGGGCCCGCGGUGCAUUAGCUAGUUGGUGAGGUAACGGCUCACCAAGGCAACGAUGCAUAGCCGACCUGAGAGGGUGAUCGGCCACACUGGGACUGAGACACGGCCCAGACUCCUACGGGAGGCAGCAGUAGGGAAUCUUCCGCAAUGGACGAAAGUCUGACGGAGCAACGCCGCGUGAGUGAUGAAGGCUUUCGGGUCGUAAAACUCUGUUGUUAGGGAAGAACAAGUACAAGAGUAACUGCUUGUACCUUGACGGUACCUAACCAGAAAGCCACGGCUAACUACGUGCCAGCAGCCGCGGUAAUACGUAGGUGGCAAGCGUUAUCCGGAAUUAUUGGGCGUAAAGCGCGCGCAGGCGGUUUCUUAAGUCUGAUGUGAAAGCCCACGGCUCAACCGUGGAGGGUCAUUGGAAACUGGGGAACUUGAGUGCAGAAGAGAAAAGCGGAAUUCCACG
rnacentral:rRNA from 1 species